GAGAGACGAGAGCUUUACUAAAUAAAAAGCAGCAGCAAGUUUUGAAAGGGUUAUAGCAGAUUUGAUACUACUGCUGCUCAAAAUAUUCGAUCGUCGUUCUUCUCUCCUCGCGUUAUUUGUCUGCCCAGCUCCUCGUACUCUGUCCCGAGCAAGAGCGAAAAGAAACGCUACGCGAGGAAGAUAAUGCUGCUUCAAAACCUAUCAAUAAAGUUGAAAGAGCGAACGAACCAAUAGGCCUGCAGAGCUUAUGGCGUAAUGAGAAUAAAAAUAUGUCGGCGCAAUAAAAAUCGAAACCUCUUUUUCUUUACUCAGCCAGCCAACCCAUAUUUGAAAUCUGUAUCCGCUGUGCUAAUUAGAUAUGCUCAUGAACAUGUUGUUGAUGCUUCGAAUGUGGAAAAUAUAAAUGGUGAAAUGAAAUGAAAUGAAAUUAGUCAGUGAGUGUGUGUGUACUACACUUUCAAGGAGAACUAACUAACUAAAUAACUAUGCCAUAAUAUAAUAGGAGUAGGAGUUACAUGUUUUAAGAGUUAUUAGACCUGAUAUGAAAUUAAUUUUGCAGAGGGAACAAACAAUAAAGCCAUAUUUUCUCAUAUUGGAAUCUUGUAGUAAUUAUUUAUUACAAAUAAUAUUGAGACAAGUAAGUCAGAAAACAUGUGUAGAUCGAUAGGAGCGAAAAGAAGGAUUGAUUAUUUAUUAUCUAUGUAUGACGUAGCGUAUUUAGUAUGCAAUGUAACAUGGUAUUAUUAUUAUUUGAAUUAGUUGAAAAGAAAUAUGUACGCUACAAAUUAUACAAUGCCAAUACUUAAUGUGCCGCAAUUUAAAUAUUUUCUGCAGAUUGUACAUAUUCUGCGCAAUAAAAAGGCGUAAAAGGCAUUAUUUAUCCAUGGGACAAGAAGUACAUAUAAAGUAUUGGUCAGUUGGUUGGCUAGUUGUUGUUUUUGUGUUUGUAAUAAAUAAAUUUGCGAAUAUAUGUAUGCUGCAAAC